UCAGAAUAUGUAAUUGUCUCGAGAUUUCUGCUUUUUUCGUAUGUUUUCUCAUUGACAUGUUUUUCCUCUUUUGCUAAUAUUAUGUUUUCUUCACAAAUUUGUUCCACCGGAACUGCUUUGGAGACUUGGUCCUGCUUUCCACAUGCCAAUUGUUUGAUUUCUUCAACCGGUGGAUCAGUCUCAUAUGUUUCAUUGGCAGUUUCGUGGAGGUUGACAACUUCUGCAAUCUCUAUGUUAUCAUUUAAAUCAUCUUUUGAGAGAUUCUGCAACAAGAUUAACAUUAGCAAAAUUAAUUAGAUGAUGAAAGAAAAAAUUUUAUUCACUUUAUAGAACCGUAAGAAAACUAGCAUAGAAGUCUUUAAAGUGUCUAUAUUUGUUUAAUUCUCACCUUUUCUUCUGGAUUUUCCUUCCCUUUGAUUUCAUUUAAAUGGAUUGUUCUCUCCUUUUCUUCUUCCACAAGGUUUUCUUGAAGACUUUUAGUAAACCUCUUCUCCUCGAAAUAUGUAAUGGUCUCGAGAUUUCCGCUUUCUUCGUAUGUUUCGUUGACAUGUUUUUCCUCUUUUGUUAAUAUUUUGUUUUCUUCACAAACUUGUUCUAUUGGAACUGCUUUGGAGAUUUGGUCAUGCUCUCCACAUGCCAAUUGGUUGAUUUCUUCAACUGGUGGAUCAGUCUCAUAUGUUUCAUUGACAGUUUCGUGGAGGUUGACAACUUCUGCAAUCUCUAUGAUAUCAUUUAAAUCAUCUUUUGAGAGAUUCUGCAACAGGAUUAACAUUAACAAAAUUAAUUAGCUGAUGAAAGAAAGAUUUUUAUUCACUUUAUAGAACCGUAAGAAAACUAGCAUAGAAGUCUUAAAAGUGUCUAUAUUUGUUUGAUUCUCACCUUUUCUUCUGGAUUUUCCUUCCCUUUGAUUUCAUUUAAAUGGAUUGUUCUCUCCUUUUCUUCUUCCUCGAGGUUUUCUUCAAGACUUUCAAUAGGCCUCUUCUCCUUGAAAUAUGUAAUGGUCUCGAGAUUUCCGCUUUCUUCGUAUGUCUCGUUGACAUGCUUUUCCUCUUCUGUUAAUAUUUUGUUUUCUUCACAAACAUGUUCUACCGGAACUACUUUGGAGACUUGGUCCUGCUCUUCACAUGCCAAUUGUUUGAUUUCUUCAACUGUCUCAUAUGUUUCAUUGGCAGUUUCGUGGAGGUUGACAACUUCUGCAAUCUCUAUGUUAUCAUUUAAAUCAUCUUUUGAGAGAUU
rnacentral:lncRNA from 1 species